UACGUAGGGGGCAAGCGUUGUCCGGAUUUAUUGGGCGUAAAAGGCUUGUAGGUGGCCACGCCAAGUCGGAUGUGAAAUCUCCCGGCUCAACUGGGAGGGGUCAUUCGAUACUGGCGGGCUCGAGGCCGGUAGGGGGAAGUGGAAUUCCCGGUGUAGUGGUGGAAUGCGUAGAUAUUGGGAGGAACACCAGUGGCGAAGGCGGCUCGCUGGACCGGUUCUGACGCUGAGGCGCGAAAGCGUGGGGAGCAAACGGG
rnacentral:rRNA from 1 species